rnacentral:lncRNA from 1 species
CAACGCCUUGGUCUUGGACUUCCAGCCUCCAGAACUUGGACUCUACCUUCCUUCCCCUGAUUCUCAUGAGAAUCUGAUCUUCGCUAAAGUGGGCAAGGUCCUGGAUCAGAAGAUGCCUGACAAGAGGCCACUAUCAGCAGCAACAGCACAGUGGGGACAAACCUGAGACCUUGAUGGACCGUGGACACCAGCAGGAGAGACAGAGGAACUUGAAGUCUAAAUGGGCAGACAAGACCAACAUACACAAAGCAGAGAGUGGCACAAGAGCCAUGUCUGAUGCAACAGUGACUCAGGAGGAUCACUCUGACUCAGAAUGGCCAAGCAAAGGUUAGCGUGUUAAGUCUCUGAAGCUGAUUAACGGCUUAACUCAAGUUUUCGCACCUGCAGACCAGUGACCCCCCACCGCCGCCCCCCCGCAAGGCAUCUGUUUGACGUCUCUUUAAUUUUAUUAGUGGCUUAUGGACAAAAUCACUUGACUUAACCUUUUUCAAGUGUAAGUUAUUUGGAUUCACAAGAGCAUUUUUCUCCCUGUUAUAAAUCAAUGAACCCAGUUAAGAUUAACUGCCUACAUGUGAGCUUCAAAAGAUCUUCUAUGGCCAGGCAAAGUUGAAAGAAACACAUAAUUCCAUAACAUGCUAAACACAAGUUGAUCAAAGUUUUUGGAGCUGGUUACUUAAUGCUGUACUUCCUCAUUCUCAAACAAUCUGAUUUCAAGUAGUUUGUGUCUAAAACAUAUAUUACUAGACUGCAAACAUUCAUCCUUUGGAAGAAAAAUCAUUUCUGUAUCUUAACUGGUCAAAAUCUAUGUUUCAACAGACCUAAACUAAA